rnacentral:lncRNA from 1 species
UUUGAGAUUGGACAAGUCUUCAGAAUAACGGCUUUUAUACCCGGCCGUCGGGUCAUCAUCGACGUUUAUACCCGAUCGAAGGGUUCAAAGCGGCUACAAUACCCAGCCGUUAGGUCAUCGACGUUUAUACCCGAUCGUAGGGUUCAAAGCGGCUACAAAACCCAGCCGUUAGGUCAUCGACGUUUAUACCCGAUCGUAGGGUUCAAAGCGGCUACAAAACCCAGCCGUUAGGUCAUCGACGUUUAUACUCGAUCGUAGGGUUCAAGUAAUAAAAAUAACACCCGCGAUUGCGAGGUUCGGAUGUUGCUCGCGAUGGCGAGACUAAAAAAAAACAACUCACGAAGGCGAGUAGUUUAAUCAAAAGGAGAAGUUAAAAUCGCGAGGGCGAGAAAACAUCAUUGUUCCCGAAACUGAUUUUUUUUUUUUCUUUGCGGAAGCUAACGUAACGGAUCCAAAAUCUACAGAAAGGAUCUUGGCUCUGAUACCAUGAUAAAUUGAUGAGAGUAAAGAACACAAAAGUGUUUAGGAAGAAUUAUAAUAGAC